AACGAACGCUGGCGGCAUGCCUAACACAUGCAAGUCGAACGAAACCUUCUGGUCUCGUUUCUCACUGGUGCGUACCGCGUUGGAACCUGCCCUUAGGAUCGGAAUAACUCCCCGAAAGGGCUUCUAAUUCCGGAUAAUGUCUUCGGUCCAAUGAUUUAUCGCCUUUGGAUGGGCCCGCGUUGGAUUAGCUAGUUGUUAGGGUAAAAGCCUACCAAGGCGACGAUCCAUAGCUGGUCUGAGAGGAUGAUCAGCCACACUGGGACUGAGACACGGCCCAGACUCCGACGGGAGGCAGAAGUGGGGAAUAUUGGACAAUGGGCGAAAGCCUGAGCCAGAAAUGCCGCGUGAGUGAUGAAGGCCUUAGGGUUGUAAAGCUCUUUUACCCGGGAUGAUAAUGACAGUACCGGGAGAAUAAGCACCGGCUAACUCCGUG
rnacentral:rRNA from 1 species